AUCAAGAACCCAUCCUGCCUUCAUCCAACGUUUCAAUUCUCGUCCAUGUCCCCAAACCUUUAUAAUCAUCCACGUGGCUGGUCCAUACUUAGCCACGUCACCCAAGUUAGGUCCCUCCUUUGUAAAAGAGAAAUUCUACACCGUCCGGUACUUGUCACCAGAGAAGGUAGCCGCUGCUAAAGCUGGUCAGUUACGGUUGCGGAAGCCUUAGGACUGGAGAGAGAGAAAAGAAGAAGAAGAGAAAAUCUAGAAUAGAAUGAGGAGCGUAUCCUCAAUUUCUUCGUUUUUAUCACUGGGGCUUGUUCGACGAAGAAUAAUCUCUAAUAAGUCUCAAAUCAGUGUUCUUCGCUUCUACUCUGAUGAUCCUUUCCCUCUUUCCUCCCCAAAGCCUCCAGGGCUACUGGGACGCUAUAAGAAUUUGGUUGAUCAAGGGAAGCUGCAGCAUGAUCCUUACCAGGAAAGGGUUGCUCUUGAAUUAGAAAAAUUGCUUGGAAGAUUGGAGCAAUAUGAGAAAGACAUGGAGGAAUAUCACGUAAACCUAGCUAACUGGGAGAAUAAGAGGGAGAAUGAGCGGCUUAAGCUUUUGAUGGAAGAAGCUGAGCAGCAGCAGAAGGGGGACAUAAGGACAUCAGUAAACAAGCAUCGGAAUAAACUUCUUGAAAGAUGGAUGUUUCGGUAAUAAAUAUAGUAAUUCGGCGUAAGCUGGAUUAUUCUAUAUAUCACGUAUUAAUAAUUUUAGAAGCUUAUAACAUAAGGUCUCCUUAUUUAUUCAUUGGUCUAAUAGAUAGUUAUUCCAAGCAUUACACUUUUUUUGCAUAAACCCACAAUGAUGGUGCAUAUAAUGAUAAUGUGCUGCACUGCUGUUCCUUAAUGAUGCUAAGAGUGACAAAGGUAUACAUUAACUCAUGAAUUCCCUGGUGAUUCAUUUUAUGAUUUUGGCUGCACUAUGUACAUGUGAAAACCACUUGUUUUUAUAUUUCAUUCAAAUCUCAUGAUGCAAAUCAGUUCAUUCUCUGGUUGUUGUAAAUUCGUGUUCAUUUUUCUCUCAAAUUCCUUAAAAUAUUUCUGCCUCAGAAACACUUGUUGCUUUUUUAUUUGUGAAUUUAUUUCGUAGUUUUUUCUUUAUUCUAUUUCUUUUAAUCAAUUGAAUUUCUUGACCUAGGAAAAAACCUGAAAAUGUUGAACCUGGAGUGGGUAGAUGGGUUUCAUACCUAAAUAGAGAAAGAAAGUUGGAUUCACUUGUUGGUAGUCGUCCAACUGCUCCUCCAGCACCAAAAGGGCUUUAUAUAUAUGGCAAUGUUGGAAGCGGAAAGACCAUGCUGAUGGAUAUGUUUUAUGGUGCCACUGAAGGAAUUGUUAAACAUCGAAAACGAUUUCACUUUCAUGAGGCUAUGCUGAAUAUAAAUGAACAUAUGCAUAAGAUAUGGAAGAAUCAAGUGGAGGAACAGUCAUUGCAUUCAAGCUUAUCUAGCUGGAUUAUGAAUCUUCCUUUUGAUAUGAAAGUCAAGGAGUGGUUAGCUGCAGAGGAAAGGUAUAAGCAAGAAGUGCAGAUGAAAAACAUUCUCCCUGCGGUUGCAGACAAGUUUCUUGUAGAUCAACAAGGAGAUCAAAAUGGGGCUAGUAUUCUUUGCUUUGAUGAGAUACAGGUACAAAGAAACAUGUUCUGAAAGAGCCAUUAGUAUUCUUUUUCAAUCAUAAAUUCUUGAUCCUGUCAUUAAUAGUUUUUUCUUUGGAGAUCCUAUCUUGGCUAUGGGACGUAUCAAACAUGGUGCACCAUUUGAUGACAACUCAUUUGCAUGUUGUAGGAUGAAUUUUGUGGUUGAGUUUCUUCAUUUUCUUCUCUUAUUUUCUGUCUUUUAGCAAUAAGUCCAUGUUUGGAGCAUUUAAAGUUAUCAUUAUCUGCUAGAACCUGUUAUGGGAAAAAGCAGCUGAUUGAAUUUGCAACUCAUUUCACGACUUAAAAUUUGUGAUUUUAUAUUACAGACAGUUGAUGUAUUUGCUAUUGUGGCCUUAUCUGGAAUUCUAAGCAGAUUGUUGACUACUGGAACUGUGCUUGUGGCCACCAGUAACCGAGCACCAAAGGAUUUAAAUCAGGAUGGUAUGCAAAGAGAGAUCUUCCUAAAAUUGGUUUCAAAAUUGGAGAAGCACUGUGAGAUAGUUCUGAUUGGAAGUGAGAUUGAUUAUCGACGUUUUAUAGCUCAAAGAUCCAAAGACCAGGUGAGAUGCUGUGUGGUUAUACUUGGUUUUCUUCCCUAUUUAUGUAUGCUUUUGUUUGAUCAUGUGUUCCUUCUUCCUCCAUCUGCCUGCCAGAUUUGCUUCAUUUUAGCAUCUUUAUAUUUGUUAGUAUUUUUAGUAUCUUGAAAUUUUCCACAACCUGUUUACAAUUUUCAAAUUCACAGUUUGAUGCUAAAUAUUAUUUUGAAGAUCAUCUUAUCUUCAAAUCUUCACUUUUUCUGUAGCAAGGUCCUUGAUGUUUCUCAUGGUCAUUAAUUUACUGUGUUUCUUUUGGUUAUAUUCUAGUUUGUCAUCUCUCAGAUUUAUUUUAUUAUGUAAAUCUUCUAAUCAUGAUCUCAGCAUAAGGAAAUGCUAGUCUCUUAGUACUGGAGCCAAGCUGAGGCGUGUGAUUUAUCUCCCAUGGUUUUCCUUUAGCAGUUCCAUGGUACUAUUUUCAGUGUCCUUUUGUUCUUAUAGUAGUUCAAGUUAGUUGAGUCACUCUCAUGCAGAUUUUGGUGUCAUUGUACAUUCCCAAUUAACAAUCAAAAUCUUUGUGUUGUUUGGUGAUGCUCUCAUGUCCAGUCCAUCAGUUCCUGCAGAUCCAUUAAUCUUUUUCAAUCAGUGAGAUAGAGUAGAGAACUGCAACCAAUAUUAAUUUCUUUUUAGAAAAGAAAUCGAAACAAAAAUUUCAGUAGAAAUUAUCAGCUUGCUUUUGUAUGUUUGUCUAUAUCUAGUUGGUUGAAACUAUAAUUGCACAUAUGCAGGUUCACUAUUUCUGGCCAUUGGAGAACAGUGUUGUGAAGGAAUUUGAGAAAAUUUGGUGUCAGGUCACAGACCACUUGGAAGGAGAAAUCACCUCCUGUUACCAUUCCGGUUAUGUUUGGGAGGUACUUUUCAAACAUAUUAAUCUAUUAUAUGUUUGGUAUCCAAUUGGAACUAGAAAGUCAGAGGUUCUCAAAAGCUGCCAUGGAGUGGGAAAGUUCAUAUUCGAAUAUCUAUGUUGUCAGCCGGUAUUAUAUUUUCUUUUUAUGAAUUUUUUUAAAAUUCUUUUCUCCCCAAAUAUGUGAACAAUGUUUUUUUAAUUAUGUAUCUAGUCAUGCAUAUUUAGUUAAAGAUAUUUGUUUACAUUGUACUCUGUUUUCUCAUUUUCUUGUUAAUAGAUAAGUUUUGAUGGUAUAUGAAUUUUCUAAUCCAUAUAUGUUCGCAAUCUGAUCUAAUAUGUCAGUAACAUGGCUGAAAGAGACGGAGCACCAGGAAUUAGGAAAAAGAUGAAAGGAUAACCGCAGGCUACAAUGAACCUAAGAAUCUCAGUAUGAUAUUGUCAAAAUUAGUUUCCUGUGAAUGAGAGAGAUGUGCAAGCAUUAUGUAUCAUAAAAGUUCACAAAUGGGCAGACUAGGUAAAAAAUAUUUUUCAAAAGACUUGACUGAGAGAUGCAUUUUGCAAAGUUCCAUUGAUGGGAAAGAGAUUUCUUCACUUUGUUCUCAUGGCUUUAGAAGUUGACUUAGUUCUUGGGAAAAUCCUUGUCCUAUUCUUAUCUCAGCGCUGAAAAGUGCAAAACUUUAUUUGAAAUAUUAUAUGCUUUGUUUAUUUUUAGAUGGUGGAUGAUCGACUCUCUUUUUGGCGUAUUAAGUUCUUUAACCCCUUUUGGGUGGUGAUUAUCUUACUGUUGAUUAUGCAGCAAGGAGUGGCAGAUUAUAUUGCAGUUGUAAAAAUUUAUCAAAUUGUCUUCUUCAUCUCUGAUUUUCCAACAAUGAGAAUGCGAAUCCGUGGCAAGGUAACACUCUCUUUUUAAUGCUACCUGAACAAAUUUACUGUGUAUGAGGCCAGUCAGAAAGGAAGGAGAGGGGAGAUAGAGAGAGAGAGAGGUAGAGGAAGGAAGGGAAGAGGCGUUAGACCUGUAUGUUCUCUUGGAGCUAUGUUAACCCUUUUGGCAUUGAAGCUAUGUGGCAUAAUGUUUCCCUUCUCUUUUCACUUCUGCUGGCUCAUAUGCACACAAAACAUUUUACAUAUGACUAUGAAGAUGAGCUCAUGCAUGUAAUGUAAGCAUUCGCUUUGGAUCCUUAAUAUCUAUUGCUGUAUAACAGAUUUGGAAUCUUAAUCAAACCAUAUUGUCAGUUAAGAUUCAUUAUUUCAAAUAGAUAACAAAUUUGUGUCUUUUGCUUUCCAGGCACGUAGAUUUAUCACCCUCAUAGAUGAGUCAUACAAUCAUCGUUGCUGCCUGUUUUGUUCUACAGCUACUUCUAUUGAUGACGCAUUUCAAGGAACUGAAGAGGGUACAUUGUUUGAUUUGGAAGGAUAGUUUUUCUUUGUGUUUGUGCUGGCCUUAAUUGUUAUGUUACAACAGGUUAUGAUGACACAAGAUAAUUUAUAUUCUACCUGUGCAUUUGAAUCUGCUAGUUCUUUCUUUCAAUAUUUGCUUUUCAAAUUAAGCAUAUUUGCCAUAUCCUUCAGCAGUCUCACAAUUUUGUUUUUCCUUCUUGCUUAAGGUUUUCUUAUAAUUUUAUGAAAAUUUUUGGGGGGUUGUUUGUUAUGACCAAGGAUGGAUAAAAUAUGAGAGACACUGUAGCCUGCACAAAGGAAAACAGAGGAGAAUAGCCUAGAUAGAUGGUUGAUUUGUAACAGAUUAUGUUAGGAAAGCAUGUAUAAAAUCAUAUGAGACUUGGAGAAUCAUCGUCAAAUCAAUUGACAAAGAAUUUCGUUCUCUCUCCCUCCUCUUCUCUGCUCCUUCCUUCUUUCUCUCCUUUCUUUCUCAUUUUCCCUCUAUUUCUGGGUGCCCAAACACCUCAGUAUCCCAGUGCUGAACAUUGUUAUUAUUGAAUAUGUUAUUAGUAUGCAACAAUAUAUAUAUAUAUAUAUAUCUGUAGACUGCUUUUUUUCCCAUGCAUAUUAUAGUUUGUUUUGUCUGUUUGCGUGUUUCUUUCUCUCUUUCAUCUGUUCCUUUUGAAGUUGUAAAAUCUUAACCAGUUUAUUUUAGAUGACCAAUACUAUCCAGAAGAAG
rnacentral:misc_RNA from 1 species